rnacentral:rRNA from 1 species
UACGGGGGUGCAAGCGUUUGUCCGGAAUCACUGGGCGUAAAGGGCGCGUAGGUGGCGUCGUAAGUCUGUGGUGAAAGCCCGGAGCUCAACUCCGGGUCUGCCGCGGAUACUGCGAGGCUUGAGUGCUGUAGAGGGGGUAGAAUGCCGGGUGUAGCGGUGGAAUGCGCAGAUAUCAGGAGGAACACCGGUGGCGAAGGCGACUACCUGGACCAGCACUGACACUGAGGCACGAAAGCGUGGGGAGCAAACAGG